GACGAACGCUGGCGGCGUGCUUAACACAUGCAAGUCGAACGGAAAGGCCCUGCUUUUGUGGGGUGCUCGAGUGGCGAACGGGUGAGUAACACGUGAGUAACCUGCCCUUGACUUUGGGAUAACUUCAGGAAACUGGGGCUAAUACCGGAUAGGAGCUCCUGCUGCAUGGUGGGGGUUGGAAAGUUUCGGCGGUUGGGGAUGGACUCGCGGCUUAUCAGCUUGUUGGUGGGGUAGUGGCUUACCAAGGCUUUGACGGGUAGCCGGCCUGAGAGGGUGACCGGCCACAUUGGGACUGCGGUACGGCCCAGACUCCUACGGGAGGCAGCAGUGGGGAAUCUUGCACAAUGGGCGGAAGCCUGAUGCAGCAACGCCGCGUGCGGGAUGACGGCCUUCGAGUUGUAAACCGCUUUCGCCUGUGACGAAGCGUGAGUGACGGUAAUGGGUAAAGAAGCACCGGCUAACUACGUG
rnacentral:rRNA from 1 species